rnacentral:rRNA from 1 species
GCACAAGCGGUGGAUGAUGUGGAUUAAUUCGAUGCAACGCGAAAACCUUACCUACCCUUGACAUGUCCAGAACCCUGCAGAGAUGCGGGGUGCCCGAAAGGGAAUUGGAACACAGGUGCUGCAUGGCUGUCGUCAGCUCGUGUCGUGAGAUGUUGGGUUAAGUCCCGCAACGAGCGCAACCCUUAUCAUUAGUUGCUACGCAAGGGCACUCUAAUGAGACUGCCGGUGACAAACCGGAGGAAGGUGGGGAUGACGUCAAGUCCUCAUGGCCCUUAUGGGUAGGGCUUCACACGUCAUACAAUGGUCGGUACAGAGGGUUGCCAAGCCGCGAGGUGGAGCCAAUCCCAGAAAGCCGAUCGUAGUCCGGAUUGUUCUCUGCAACUCGAGAGCAUGAAGUCGGAAUCGCUAGUAAUCGCGGAUCAGCAUGUCGCGGUGAAUACGUUCCCGGGUCUU